rnacentral:sRNA from 1 species
AUGGAACUGUCCACUGAUACUGGCUGGAAUCAGAAGAGUAAUUUCCCGCCUUGUGACUCUCGUGUCUCCAAAGAAGAAGCCCAACUCCCUUUCCCAACACCUAGCAGCUAGGGUGCAGAUUCCUCCAACCAGACUUACGCACACAAGUCUCAGUCUGAAAGAGAGCAGCACAAGGAAGUACGUGCUGUCCUGAACCAUUGUUCUGGCUUGGAUGGUGGAGAGGAGUCUGGCAUUUGUGGGACAAGUACCCGCAUUGAUGCUGGCACUGGGAACGGGACGGAUGAUAAAGUCACUGAUCAGCACAGACACAGAAGAUGCCUCCAAGGGACCAAAGGGAAUAACCGCGGUUCUGAGGUGCGGGGACGGCUGUUGCAGGGAAAUGUGGACCGCUCAGGAGGGGCUCCUAGCGCAGGCGUCUUGCUCCGCAGACGCGGUUACAGCUGCGCUUUGCACGGCCUGCGGAAGUUUGCAAAUCUAGCAGGUCUGCUCUCCCGGCAGCAGGACUCGGCCCGCGGCGUGAGCCACCAUUCUCGGCUGAAGAUCCAUUUUAAGAAGAUUUAUUCCUCUAUGAUGGAGAAGUAUGAAAAAAUUGGGAAAAUUGGAGAAGGAUCCUAUGGAGUUGUUUUCAAAUGUAGAAACAGGGACACGGGUCAGAUUGUGGCCAUCAAGAAGUUUCUGGAAUCAGAAGAUGACCCUGUCAUAAAGAAAAUUGCCCUUCGGGAAAUCCGAAUGCUCAAGGCCCCAAGCCCCUAUGCUGCUGAACCUGCUCUCUGUGGAAUGAAAAUGGUAGGAAGAGGAAAGAAAGAAUUUCUGCCAGCAGUGGCAGAAAAAGUAGAUGCUCCUAGCGGAGUUGGAGGUCAAGGACAGGACAGUGUCACUGUGGGAUCCCUGGGCAGACGUUCUACCUAUGGCAGAAAACAAGAAAAAGAAGAGAGACAAGGAGAAGGAAUCAUCUACUGCUAUGUGGCAGUUUUGCUUUGGAUUUACUAUUUUGACCAGGGUUGUGUUGCAGGGAGGAAGAGCAGUUUCAGGAGCUUGUAUUUGGCCCUUUCUGCCAUAUUGGCUCUUACUUCACAGGUCAUAGAACCAAUGUGAGGCGUUACAUUUUACUACUAUCACGGCCCAGCCCCUUCAAGAUGGCUGCUGGUACCUAUGAGGCAGUUCUUGUCAUUCUUGAGUGCAGUUAUUUCCUCGCAGAGCAAGAACCUUAUUGCCCUACUCAGGCACUGCAACAACCUCAUUCUAUUAUAGGUCCGUGGGCCCUAGAAGGAGGUGGGGUAGAAUCUAAGGAGGACAGGCAUCCCCCUCCUAAGGAGGCACCUGCAUCAUGUGAGGGAUUUUUAGGGUCUGCAGUGCCGAAGCAAGCUUACACCCCAUUCAAAACCAGCCCUGACAAAAGGCUUAGUGACUGUGUUGCUACAGCUCCCUGGGCUUCCUCCCACCCCACUUAUCAUCAGCAGUGGGGUCCUUGUUGCCAUCUGCUCCAUGAUUGAUCCAGUUCCAGAAUUCCAUUCUGAAGGUCUGCUAGCUAAGGCCACUUCAGGCAGUGCUGGAAUCCUGGUAUGGAUAUUUUUAUGCAAUGAUGCUUUUAUUUAUGGAAAGUAUAUUCUCAGAAGUGGAGUGCUAUGGGUUCAUGGUAUCCCUGGCUUCAAGAGUGAAGCUGCAGCCCUUUGCCGUUAAGUGUUACAGCAGUGCAGACCCAAAGCGUGAGCAGCAGCAAGAUUUAUUGCAAAGAGUGAAAGAACAAAGCUUCCACAGUGUGAAUGGUGCCCAGGCUAGACAUAAAGGUUCUCCAAGUCCCCACCAGACUCAGGAGCCCAGCUGGCCUCACCCAGUGGAUCCCACACCGGGCCGCAGGUGGAGCUGCCUGCCAGUCCCAUGCCGUGCGCCUGCACUCCUCAGUCCUUGGGUGGUCGAUGGGACUGGGUGCUGCGGAGCAGGGGGCGGUGCUGAUCGUGGAGGCUCGGCCGCACAGGAGCCCAUGCAACUCAAGCAUCCCAACCUUGUUAACCUCCUGGAAGUCUUCAGGAGGAAACGGAGGCUUCACCUGGUGUUUGAAUAUUGUGACCACACAGUUCUCCAUGAGUUGGACAGAUACCAAAGAGGCAUAUGCAACAUCUUUGUGUGCAUUGGAAGAAGACUUGGUGAGCACACAGAGGCCUUGUCCAAGAAAAAGAAAAAAGGAGGAGGGAGUCCCUUCCUGCAGUUGAGGGCAGCCUCUUGCAGGAUCACCCUGUUUAAGAAUGUUGGCUGUGGGCUGGAAACCACAGGUGAUUUGAGUCUAAAUUCUGGAAGGGGGGGGCCGCAUCUCGAGGGGUGGCUGCAGCUCUCAGAGCACUUGUGUGUGGGACAGAGCUGACAUCUAGCGACUCUCCCCAGAGGUGCAUACAUAGAGACGUGAAGCCAGAAAAUAUCCUCAUCACAAAACAUUCCGUGAUUAAGCUCUGUGACUUUGGAUUUGCUCGGCUUUUGACUGGACCGAGUGACUACUAUACAGACUACGUGGCUACCAGGUGGUACCGCUCCCCUGAGCUGCUGGUGGGGGACACGCAGUACGGCCCCCCGGUGGAUGUUUGGGCAAUUGGCUGUGUCUUUGCUGAGCUGCUGUCAGGAGUGCCUCUGUGGCCAGGAAAAUCGGAUGUGGAUCAGCUGUAUCUGAUUAGGAAGACCUUGGGGGAUCUCAUUCCUAGGCACCAGCAAGUGUUUAGCAUGAAUCAGUACUUCAGUGGAGUGAAAAUUCCAGACCCUGAAGAUAUGUCCCUCUGCCUGUCAGUAACCCUGACAGAGGGAGGCCUGCUUGCUUCUGGGGCUGUGAAACGCUCACAGGAUGGGCUCUAGCGUAUCACGGGCAACCAGUUGGCCUCAUCCAGACAUUGUUGCUGAGACAGCAGAGCUCGAUGAUAUAGCAAUGGCACGUCAAACCCCAGUGAUGCUCAGAUUCAACCGACAGAAAGAACAAGAGAAAUAUUUAAGCUAUGGAGCAUGA